rnacentral:rRNA from 1 species
AUUGAACGCUGGCGGCAGGCUUAACACAUGCAAGUCGAGCGGGGGAGGUUGCUUCGGUAACUGACCUAGCGGCGGACGGGUGAGUAAUGCUUAGGAAUCUGCCUAUUAGUGGGGGACAACAUUCCGAAAGGAAUGCUAAUACCGCAUACGCCCUACGAGGGAAAGCAGGGGAUCUUCGGACCUUGCGCUAAUAGAUGAGCCUAAGUCGGGUUAGCUAGUUGGUGGGGUAAAGGCCUACCAAGGCGACGAUCUGUAGCGGGUCUGAGAGGAUGAUCCGCCACACUGGGACUGAGACACGGCCCAGACUCCUACGGGAGGCAGCAGUGGGGAAUAUUGGACAAUGGGCGGAAGCCUGAUCCAGCCAUGCCGCGUGUGUGAAGAAGGCCUUUUGGUUGUAAAGCACUUUAAGCGAGGAGGAGGCUCUUAAGGUUAAUACCCUUGAUGAGUGGACGUUACUCGCAGAAUAAGCACCGGCUAACUCUGUGCCAGCAGCCGCCGUAAAAC